rnacentral:rRNA from 1 species
GUCGACCGCCUGGGGAGUACGGCCGCAAGGUUAAAACUCAAAUGAAUUGACGGGGGCCCGCACAAGCGGUGGAGCAUGUGGUUUAAUUCGAUGCAACGCGAAGAACCUUACCUACUCUUGACAUCCACGGAACUUAGCAGAGAUGCUUUGGUGCCUUCGGGAACCGUGAGACAGGUGCUGCAUGGCUGUCGUCAGCUCGUGUUGUGAAAUGUUGGGUUAAGUCCCGCAACGAGCGCAACCCUUAUCCUUUGUUGCCAGCGAUUCGGUCGGGAACUCAAAGGAGACUGCCAGUG